rnacentral:rRNA from 1 species
UCUGGCGACCGGCGCACGGGUGAGUAACACAUAUCCAACCUGCCCUUUACUCGGGGAUAGCCUUUCGAAAGAAAGAUUAAUACCCGAUAGCAUAAUGAUUCCGCAUGGUUUCAUUAUUAAAGGAUUCCGGUAAAGGAUGGGGAUGCGUUCCAUUAGGUUGUUGGUGAGGUAACGGCUCAUCAAGCCUUCGAUGGAUAGGGGUUCUGAGAGGAAGGUCCCCCACAUUGGAACUGAGACACGGUCCAA